GGCAGUUUGACCGAGCGGUUAAGGUGCUACACUCGAAUCUUCAGAGCUAUGUAGUGGGAUUUCCCGCGCAGGUUCGAAUCCUGCAACUGUCG